rnacentral:rRNA from 1 species
UAUCUCUGUAGAGUCUGCAUAUCAAUAAGCGGAGGAAAAGAAACUAACUAGGAUUCCCUCAGUAACGGCGAGUGAAGCGGGAAGAGCUCAAAUUUGAAAUCUUCAAGGUUCUACCUUGACGAAUUGUAGUCUAAAGAAGUGUUUUCUGUUGGAGUUUUGGUAAAAGUUCUUUGGAAUAGGACAUCAUAGAGGGUGAGAAUCCCGUAUUUGACCAUUAUUUCCAGCUUUGUGAUACACUUUCAAAGAGUCGGAUUGUUUGGGAAUGCAGUCCAAAAUGGGUGGUAAAUUUCAUCUAAAGCUAAAUACUGGCGAGAGACCGAUAGCGAACAAGUACCGUGAGGGAAAGAUGAAAAGAACUUUGAAAAGAGAGUUAAACAGUACGUGAAAUUGUCAAAAGGGAAGCGUUUGACACCAGUGUUGUUUUCUCGAAAAUCAAUUAAAAAAGUCAGGAUUUUGUAUUGUUAAUGACCUUAUCAGCUUUACUGCUACUCUUUUCUUGUCUUUUUUAAUGCACUUUUCGUUUAACAAGUCAACAUCAAUUUCUUUUGUUGUAAAAGGGUCAUUGGAAGGUGGCUUUCUUUUCGGAGAAAGUGUUUAUAGCCUUUGGCCUCUGCAAUCGGAGAGAUUGAGGUCUGCAGCGUAGAUCCUUCGGGGCUAGAUACGUAGAUGCUAAGUUAUAGCUUUUUAUAGACAACUUGUUGACUAUAAUUAAGUCAUGUAGCUUACUCGCUUAUGCUAUUUUACCUACGCUUAGGAUGUUGACGAUCAGCUGAGCGCG